UUUACUUCAAACAUAAAAAAAAUUUUUUAUUUUUAGGGGAUGGGUUAAGAAUGGGGAUCAUCCCUUUUUUUUUUUUCCUGAGAUAUGAAUUUCGAAUUUAUAUACAUUCUUUUCAACCCUUUGUAAGGCUUUGUGAGAUUAUUAUCUUCUAGUUUUUUUCAAAUAAAAUAGAAAGGUUAGAAUUUUCUGCUUCUUGUAUCUCAUAAUUAAAAUAAAAAAAUGUUAAAAAUUAACAAUCGAAAUGAAAUAUUUUCCAUUAUGAAUUUCUUUUUUUGAUUUCAUUAAAAAUGGAAUAUUCCC
rnacentral:misc_RNA from 1 species